rnacentral:rRNA from 1 species
GGCAGCAGUGGGGAAUUUUCCGCAAUGGGCGAAAGCCUGACGGAGCAAUACCGCGUGAGGGAUGACGGCCUAUGGGUUGUAAACCUCUUUUUUCAGGGAGGAACAAAAUGACGUGUACCUGAAGAAUAAGCAUCGGCUAACUCCGUGCCAGCAGCCGCGGUAAGACGGAGGAUGCAAGUGUUAUCCGGAAUCACUGGGCGUAAAGCGUCUGUAGGUGGUCAAAUAAGUCAACUGUUAAAUCUUGAGGCCCAACCUCAAAAUCGCAGUCGAAACUAUUAGACUAGAGUAUAGUAGGGGUAAAGGGAAUUUCCAGUGGAGCGGUGAAAUGCGUAGAGAUUGGAAAGAACACCGAUGGCGAAGGCACUUUACUGGGCUAUUACUAACACUCAGAGACGAAAGCUAGGGUAGCAAAUGGGAUUAGAUACCCCAGUAGUCCUAGCUGUAAACAAUGGAUACUAGAUGUUGGACAGAUCGACCUGUGCAGUAUCA